rnacentral:rRNA from 1 species
AUUGAACGCUGGCGGCAGGCCUAACACAUGCAAGUCGAACGGGAACAGAAAGCAGCUUGCUGCUUUGCUGACGAGUGGCGGACGGGUGAGUAAUGUCUGGGAAACUGCCUGAUGGAGGGGGAUAACUACUGGAAACGGUAGCUAAUACCGCAUAACGUCGCAAGACCAAAGAGGGGGACCUUCGGGCCUCUUGCCAUCGGAUGUGCCCAGAUGGGAUUGGCUAGUAGGUGGGGUAACGGCUCACCUAGGCGACGAUCCCUAGCUGGUAUGAGAGGAUGACCAGCCACACUGGAACUGAGAAACGGUCCAGACUCCUACGGGAGGACGCAGUGGGGAAUAUUGCACAAUGGGCGCAAGCCUGAUGCAGCAAUGCCGCGUGUAUGAAGAAGGCCUUCGGGUUGUAAAGUACUUUCAGCGGGGAGGAAGGGAGUAAAGUUAAUACCUUUGCUCAUUGACGUUACCCGCAGAAGAAGCACCGGCUAACUCCGUG